ensembl:antisense Gm16141 predicted gene 16141
UCCCUCACGGAAACACUUCAGUGUGAACCCAGUAGGCCUGAGACCAGCCCAGAGCGCUCUCUCCGGUCAGCUAGAGCUCCACUUACGCGGAACGCUGCCCGCCUGCCACUCCAAAACAGCCACAUAGCGUGGUGUUCGUGAUUUCUUUCCCGAGUGAGCUUCUGACCUCAACUUGUGGACGGUGACGGCUCACCUCCCCCUUACUCCUGGGUCUCUGAACUCAGAGGCCCAGAGCCCUGGACCGUGUCUGUGGAAUGGUUCAGCAUAUCUGGCCGAAGAAAUUGGCAACAUUUGCUACGAAUAAAACCCAAGCGGUUCCAGCAGCCAUUUUGAAUUAAGUUUCGCACCGCGACAAACCCUCGUCCCUCCGCCGCACAGGCAAGACCGGGUGCCCGGGGAAGGCGCAGGGGACACGGGGUGGGAGAGGACCAGCCUCUCUACCUUCCUCGGAGGCUCGGCCCAAAAUCCCAGGCUAAGGGGAUCUUGGUGGCAGGGGCGCAGCAAACUUGAGGAAAGGGCCUCUGUGGAUAUAGAACGGACUGUCACAGGGCUGCACCUACGGACCCUGGCCGCACAGCCCUCCAGUAGCAAGAGGUCUUUCCCGGUUCCCCGGCAGUGCCCUCCCUUCGCAGACGCUCCCCAUAAUCCCCCAAGGAAAGUUCCUUCAAAUGAUUCUACAUUCAAGCCUUCCAUCUCGCCUGGAGUGGUAAAGCGACUGGCAUCUAAAAGGCCUAGAUGUCGCUCGUCUCAGCCCAUUUAAAAAAAAAAAAAAAAAAAAAAAAAAAAAAGACUUUUAAUGC